UUUCCCAAAUUUUAUUGAAAACAUAUAUAAUGUAAUCGUUGUAUCCCGAAAGAAUUGUGAUGCAUGCUUCACACAUGUUGACAAGAAGUAAGGGAGACAACUUGUGUGGCUGCGAUUCAUAUAUAAUAUGAUUGUCACAAUAAUAAAUAACACAAUCUUGUAAAUACAUCAUCACUUUGAUGUAAAAAACAUAAGGUUUGGUAAACAGUAUAGUAUAUCAAAACCUGAGGUACAAAACUAGAACUGUCACCAGGAUGGCUGACUAAUACCCCCGCAAUCUACACGAGUCAAUGGUGAAUUGGAACUGUUAAUUAGAGGCUAACUAAGAUAACCCAGUAAUAAAGUGACCAGUUGCCAUAGCAACCAUAAUUUUGAGAAAAAGAAAGUGGCAUCCACAUCUACACAUGGUCCUCUAUAUUUUUGUGAAGUUUCAUUGAAAUCGGCCCUUCGGUUUAGGAGGAGUUGUCCGGACAAACUUAAAGUUAUUGUUCUUAUCAGAAAAUCUGUUCAUAGUGACCAGUUGCCAUAGCAACCAUAAUUUUGAGAAAAAGAAAGUGGCAUGCACAUCUACACAUGGUCCUCUAUAUUUGUGUGAAAUUUCAUUGAAAUCGGCCCUUCGGUUUAGGAGGAGUCUAACGCCUCUCUAGACUACUCGUACAUGUAUAGACAGGGUCACAAAGUCCCUGAGAAACAACACAGUCUAACGCCUCUCUAGACUACUCGUACAUGUAUGACAGAGUCACAAUGUCCCUGAGAAACAACACAGUCUAACGCCUCUCUAGACUACUCGUACAUGUAUAGACAGGGUCACAGUCCCUGAGAAACAACACAGUCUAACGCCUCUCUAGACUACUCGUAAAUGUAUAGACAGGGUCACAGUCCCUGAGAAACAACACAGUCUAACGCCUCUCUAGACUACUCGUACAUGUAUGACAGAGUCACAAUGUCCCUGAGAAACAACACAGUCUAACGCCUCUCUAGACUACUCGUACAUGUACGGACAGGGUCACAAAGUCCCUGAGAAACAACACAGUCUAACGCCUCUCUAGACUACUCGUACAUGUACGACAGAGUCACAAUGUCCCUGAGAAACAACACAGUCUAACGCCUCUCUAGACUACUCGUACAUGUACGACAGAGUCACAAUGUCCCUGAGAAACAACACAGUCUAACGCCUCUCUAGACUACUCACACAUGUAUGACAGAGUCACAGUCCCUGAGAAACAACACAGUCUAACGCCUCUCUAGACUACUCAUACAUGUACGACAGAGUCACAGUCCCUGAGAAACAACACAGUCUAACGCCUCUCUAGACUACUCGUACAUGUACCACAGAGUCACAAUGUCCCUGAGAAACAACACAGUCUAACGCCUCUCUAGACUACUCAUACAUG